rnacentral:tRNA from 1 species
GAGGGUAUAGCUCAAGUGGUAGAGCACAUGCCUAGCAUGCACAAGGUCCUGGGUUCACUCCCCAGUGCCUCCU